rnacentral:rRNA from 1 species
GGGUCCGUAGGUGGAUAAUUAAGUCAGAGGUGAAAGUCUGCAGCUCAACUGUAGAAUUGCCUUUGAUACUGGUUAUUCUUGAGUUAUUAUGAAGUAGUUAGAAUAUGUAGUGUAGCGGUGAAAUGCAUAGAUAUUACAUAGAAUACCAAUUGCGAAGGCAGAUUACUAAUAAUAUACUGACACUGAUGGACGAAAGCGUGGGGAGCGAACAGGAUUAGAUACCCCUCGGUAG